GCCCGGGUGGCGAAAUGGUAGACGCGCAGCGUUCAGAACGCUGUGUCCGUAAGGGCUUGGGAGUUCGAAUCUCCCCCUGGGCA
rfam:Candidatus Levybacteria bacterium RIFCSPLOWO2_02_FTLL_36_8b rifcsplowo2_02_scaffold_3277, whole genome shotgun sequence.